GUCCUGCAGCCUGUGGGGGGCAGGGAGAGGGCGGGCAGUGGGUGGGACACAAUGAGAUCAGCUACAAGGGGCUUCGCCAGCCACUAGUCCGGGCAGCAGCAGCUCCGUGAACACCUGCAUGAGCCACUGCCCCCCACUGGUCUGCUGGGAGCUCCAUCACCCACCAGCUAUUUUCCUACCCAGGCUCUACUCAAUCUCUCCCUGCCCUCCCUAUUUGCCAACAACCCCUCCUCAACUCUGUAGCUUCCUAGAGCUAAGAAAAGAGACAGCUAUGUGGUUUCCUCAGAAUGAAUGGCACUCAAAAGUGUACUCAAAAGUCAAAGGGAACCUAGAAGUUGUGAGUGGAAAGGCUGCCUGGUAGUCUCCAUAGCAACACCUCCAUCCUGCCCGGACAGCUACAUGCCCUGGAGCACGCACACUCUGCCAGGUUCCUGGACAGCACUACUGUCCCUUGCUCGCUCAGGGUUCAAAAAUGAGUUUUUAAUGCUGGAAUUCAGGUAAUAAUAUACGAGGCAUUUACAGGACCUGGAGCCAGCAGGAGCUGAAGCACAUGUCUGCAGACCAGGUUGUAUCUUUGGAUUUGAGAAGAAGAGCUUUCCUUCAGGAAGAGUUCAACAUGAGAAGAGGUAUUUUUCUGGAGCCAGCUGCUCUCCAAGAAGAUAAGUUAACAGUUGCCAGUCAUGGCCAGUGUGGAAUACUUCUGUCUUGUACUUUUGGAUGUCACCAGGCAAGUUUUCUUGGUAUGAUUUUGGCAUCUGUCCUUAGCCAAAUCCUGAGGUCUCCAUUUGGUCCCCUUGAUCACAGUAUGUGGAGUAAUUAAACUGUGGUACUGCUUGGUUUCUAUAGUAAGGAAAAAAGUAAAGGCAUGCAACUAUUCUUUCUUUUCCUUAUUUACACUCUAGAGUUGAUGGUGAGGCAUCAUUACUUAUAGAAGAACCUUGGCCUUUCAUAUUGAUAAGGUCUUCUGUCAAACCUAUCUUUCUAUGCAAAAUCUCAUCUUCUAUUUGUACUAUGGAUUCAAUUGCCAGAGAGGCAGUGACACUCUCUGUAGGUAAAAGAGUUUUGAUGGAUUAGUAACGUCUGUCUUAAAAGAAGAAUGGGAAGUGGCAACAGGUAUGUCAUGUGUUUGUCAUCCUUGGUCUGUAACCAACUAGAUUAUGGAAUUGUUUUUCCUCUUAUUUUUAGGGUCAUAGUUCAGUCUAUUGUUUCUGUCCCUAGAACUUAUAAUUACCUUGGAAAGAAAUCUAUUUUUACCAGGGUAAUUGUAUCCCAUAUCUUCAUGCCGCUCAAUUUCUCACAUUCAGG
rnacentral:lncRNA from 12 species